rnacentral:rRNA from 1 species
UACGGAGGAUGCAAGCGUUAUCCGGAAUUAUUGGGCGUAAAGCGUCCGUAGGUGGCAUUUCAAGUCUGCCGUUAAAGCCCGAAGCUUAGCUUUGGAAAAGCGGUGGAAACUGAGUAGUUAGAGUGCGGUAGGGGUAGAGGGAAUUCCCAGUGUAGCGGUGAAAUGCGUAGAGAUUGGGAAGAACACCGGUGGCGAAAGCGCUCUACUGGGCCGCAACUGACACUGAUGGACGAAAGCUAGGGGAGCGAAAGGG